rnacentral:lncRNA from 1 species
UCACUUUUAUGCCACACUUUAUCCAUAUGGGCCAGGCAGUAAAUAUUUUUGGUACUGCAGGCCAUAUGGUAUCUCAUAACUCUAUAUAACUUUAUCUGUAGCAGCAUGCACUCAACCACAGAUAGCAGCAGGUCUACAAAUGACUGCCUAUAUUUCAAUAGAUGUCACUCAUGGACACUAGAUAUGAACUUCAUAUACUUUCCAAUCAUGAAGUACUAUUUUUUCCCCCUCAACCAUUUAAAGAUCAUUCUUGCUGGGCAUGGUGGCACACACCUUUAAUCCUAGUACUUGGGAAACAGAGGUAGGCUGAUCUCUUGAGUUUGAGGCCAGUCUGAUCUACUUAGGGAGUUCUAGGCCAGCAAAAGCUACAUAUUGAGAUCUUGUCUCAAAAUAAAACAUAAAAUUCAGUUCUCACUUUUAAACCAUCACAAAACAGGCAGCUGGCCAUAAUUUCUACUUUUUUAAAAAAUAUUUUCUUAUUUUUAUUUUAUGUCUAUAUGAAGGUGUGAAAUCCCCUGGAGUUGUAGCUGCAGACAUUAGUGAGCUGCCAUAAAGGUGCUGAGAAUUGAACCUGGGUCCUCUGGAAGAGCAGCUAGUGCUCUUAACCACUUAACUGUUAUCUCUCUAGCCCCUAGUUUUCACUUAUUUAUUUAUUUAUAAAUAAAUAAAUAAAAAUAUUUUAAAAGAUUUAUUUAUUUAUAAAUAAAUAAAAUAUUUUUUAAAAGAUUUAUUUAUUUAUUUUAUGUAUAUGAGUACACCAUUAUUCUCUUCAGAUACACCAGAAGAGGGCAUCAGAUCUCAUUACGGAUGGUUGUGAGCCACCAUGUGGUUGCUGGGAAUUGAACUCAGGACCUUGGGAAGAGCAGUUGGUGCUCUUAACCGCUGAGCCAUCUGUAAGACUCAGGGAGUACCUAUUGUGCUUCUAUUUUUAUGAUAUUUUGGGAAAGACAAAACAACAAGGACAAUAUGUACCAGUGAUUUCUAGAGACAAGGUAUGAAGGGAUACAUUGUCACAUCAACAUGACAGCUUUGUUGGUGAGACUUCAGGGGUGUAGCAUCUGACAUUGUUUAUAUAAUCUAAUAGCAAAUGUCUUGGUCCUCUGGCUCUUGAAACUGGUCUGUCCCUUCUUCCACAGUGGUCCCUGAAUCUUAGGUGUAGGAGUUGUGUUUUAGCUCUAUUAGUUAGGACUGGGUCCCACAACUGCAUUUUAAUCAAUUGUGGUUAUCUGUAAUGGUCUCUAUUGCAAAGAGAAAUUUCCUUGGUAGAGGGUGAGAACUACUCUUUCUGUGGUAUAAGUAUGGAUAUUUAGAAUGUAGCUACGGAUUAUGCUUGUGUAGUGCAGUGGCAGUUGUGGGGGUUUUUCCAAGAUCUAUGGUUUCACUACCCCGAGUAGUUGGCUAGGUUUUUAGUACCAGGCAUGGUUUCCCUCUUGCUGAGCAGCUCUUCAGUCCAAUUAGAGGACGGUUGGUUAUUGCUAAGCUGUGCAUGCCGUUAUUGCACCCUUACAGUUACCAUGCCAUGUUGGUUGUUGUGGUUCAAUGAUGUCAUAGAUGAGUAGGAGUGUUGAUUGCCUCCCUUGGGAAAUUUGAAUGGUACCUUCUUAAUUUCUUAUCUUUGGUGAAAUGACUCUCCAACCCAUGUUUAUUAAUAUAAGUUAUUUGACUUUCAAAUCCUGUACCAGCUUUAUAAUCUAAAAUGAACACUGGAGUCUUGAUUUGUUAACAGUUCAAGACCUUUUUGUCUCCCAGUGUGUUGGUAUGUAAUAUUUCAUAAGUUGUCAUUUGGUUUUGAUUACACAGCUUGUGAAGUGCUUUUUCCUCUUCUAUUUUCUGGAAGAAUAUAUGUAGAAUUGAUGUUAUUUUUUCCAUAAAUAUGUGAUAUGAUUUGCUAAUAAUGUUAUCUGGACCACUGGUUUUUCCUCCUGGAUAUUUUAAACUAUGAAUCCAGUAUUUUUUUUUUUAAUAGAUACUGAAUGAUUGUAGAUAUUUCCUCUGGGGUGGGAUUCAGCCAUUUGUCUUUCAGAAUAUUUGUCAUUUCAUCUGAGUUGUCAGGUAUGUAGAUAGGGUUUUAUUUGCAAUGGCUCCUUUCCUUAAGUAUGCCUAAGUCAGUGAUGCCACGUGCUGCUCCAGCCUGGUGAACUGUCCUCUGGCUUCCACAUGCAUGCUAUGGCAUUUGUGUCCCUUCCCACACACUUACUAAGAAAG